UACGGAGGGAGCUAGCGUUGUUCGGAAUUACUAGGCGUAAAGCGCACGUAGGCGGCUUUGUAAGUUAGAGGUGAAAGCCCGGGGCUCAACUCCGGAACUGCCUUUAAGACUGCAUCGCUUGAAUCCAGGAGAGGUGAGUGGAAUUCCGAGUGUAGAGGUGAAAUUCGUAGAUAUUCGGAAGAACACCAGUGGCGAAGGCGGCUCACUGGACUGGUAUUGACGCUGAGGUGCGAAAGCGUGGGGAGCAAACAGG
rnacentral:rRNA from 1 species